UAAGCGGAGGAAAAGAAACUAACAAGGAUUCCCCUAGUAGCGGCGAGCGAAGCGGGAAGAGCUCAAAUUUAUAAUCUGGCACCUUCGGUGUCCGAGUUGUAAUCUCUAGAAGUGUUUUCCGCGUUGGACCGCGCAUAAGUCUGUUGGAAUACAGCGGCACAGUGGUGAGACCCCCGUAUGUGGUGCGGACGCCCAGCGCUUUGUGAUACACUUUCGAAGAGUCGAGUUGUUUGGGAAUGCAGCUCAAAUUGGGUGGUAAAUUCCAUCUAAAGCUAAAUAUUGGCGAGAGACCGAUAGCGAACAAGUACCGUGAGGGAAAGAUGAAAAGCACUUUGGAAAGAGAGUUAACAGUACGUGAAAUUGUUGGAAGGGAAACGCUUGAAGUCAGACUUGCUUGCCGGGCAACCGGUUUGCAGGCCAGCAUCAGUUUUCCGGGGUGGAUAAUGGUAGAGAGAAGGUAGCAGUUUCGGCUGUGUUAUAGCUCUCUACUGGAUACACCUUGGGGGACUGAGGAACGCAGUGUGCCUUACGGCGGAGGUUUCGACCUCUUCACACUUAGGAUGCUGGUGGAAUGGCUUUAAACGACCCGUCUUGAAACACG
rnacentral:rRNA from 1 species